CCUACGGGAGGCAGCAGUGGGGAAUAUUGCACAAUGGGGGAAACCCUGAUGCAGCGACGCCGCGUGAGUGAAGAAGUAUUUCGGUAUGUAAAGCUCUAUCAGCAGGGAAGAAAAUGACGGUACCUGAUUAAGAAGCCCCGGCUAACUACGUGCCAGCAGCCGCGGUAAUACGUAGGGGGCAAGCGUUAUCCGGAUUUACUGGGUGUAAAGGGAGCGUAGACGGCAGCACAAGUCUGGAGUGAAAUGCCGGGGCUUAACCCCGGGACUGCUUUGGAAACUGUGUAACUGGAGUACAGGAGGGGCAGGCGGAAUUCCUGGUGUAGCGGUGAAAUGCGUAGAUAUCAGGAGGAACACCGGCGGCGAAGGCGGCCUGCUGGACUGAAACUGACGUUGAGGCUCGAAAGCGUGGGGAGCAAACAGGAUUAGAUACCCUUGUAGUC
rnacentral:rRNA from 1 species